rnacentral:rRNA from 1 species
AACGAACGCUGGCGGCAGGCUUAACACAUGCAAGUCGAACGCAUGCCUUCGGGCAUGAGUGGCAGACGGGUGAGUAACGCGUGGGAACCUACCCCUUGGUACGGGAUAGCUCCGGGAAACUGGAGAUAAUACCGUAUGUGUCCUGAGGGACAAAGAUUCAUCGCCAAGGGAUGGGCCCGCGUCGGAUUAGCUAGUUGGUGGGGUAACGGCCUACCAAGGCGACGAUCCGUAGCUGGUCUAAGAGGAUGAUCAGCCACAUUGGGACUGAGACACGGCCCAAACUCCUACGGGAGGCAGCAGUGGGGAAUAUUGGACAAUGGGCGCAAGCCUGAUCCAGCCAUGCCGCGUGAGUGAUGAAGGCCCUAGGGUUGUAAAGCUCUUUCACCGGUGACGAUAAUGACGGUAACCGGAGAAGAAGCCCCGGCUAACUUCAUG